rnacentral:rRNA from 1 species
CAAUAGCGUAUAUUAAAGUUGUUGCGGUUAAAAAGCUCGUAGUUGGAUUUCUGCUGAGGAUGACCGGUCCGCCCUCUGGGCAGGUAUCUGGCUCAGCCUUGGCAUCUUCCUGAAGAACGCAGCUGCACUUGACUGUGUGGUGCGGUAUUUAGGACAUUUACUUUGAGGAAAUUAGAGUGUUUCAAGCAAGCGCACGCCUUGAAUACAUUAGCAUGGAAUAAUAAGAUAGGACCUCGGUUCUAUUUUGUUGGUUUCUAGAACUGAGGUAAUGAUUGAUAGGGAUAGUUGGGGGCAUUCGUAUUUAACUGUCAGAGGUGAAAUUCUUGGAUUUGUUAAAGACGGACUACUGUGAAAGCAUUUGCCAAGGAUGUUUUCAUUGA